ACACUCCUACGGGAGGCAGCAGUAGGGAAUCUUCGGCAAUGGGGGCAACCCUGACCGAGCAACGCCGCGUGAGUGAAGAAGGUUUUCGGAUCGUAAAGCUCUGUUGUAAGUCAAGAACGAGUGUGAGAGUGGAAAGUUCACACUGUGACGGUAGCUUACCAGAAAGGGACCGCUAACUACGUGCCAGCAGCCGCGGUAAUACGUAGGUCCCGAGCGUUGUCCGGAUUUAUUGGGCGUAAAGCGAGCGCAGGCGGUUUGAUAAGUCUGAAGUUAAAGGCUGUGGCUCAACCAUAGUUCGCUUUGGAAACUGUCAAACUUGAGUGCAGAAGGGGAGAGUGGAAUUCCAUGUGUAGCGGUGAAAUGCGUAGAUAUAUGGAGGAACACCGGUGGCGAAAGCGGCUCUCUGGUCUGUAACUGACGCUGAGGCUCGAAAGCGUGGGGAGCGAACAGGAUUAGAAACCCCGGUAGUCCCAUGAU
rnacentral:rRNA from 1 species